UUGAUCAUGGCUCAGGAUUAACGCUAGCGGCAGGCCUAAUACAUGCAAGUUGAACGGGAUUUCGGGUAGCAAUAUCUGAAUGAGAGUGGCGCACGGGUGCGUAACACGUAUGCAAUCUACCUCUGACUGGGGAAUAGCCUUCCGAAAGGAAGAUUAAUACCGCAUAAUAUAAUGAAGUGGCAUCACUUUAUUAUCAAAACUCCGGUGGUUAGAGAUGAGCAUGCGUUCGAUUAGCUAGUUGGUGAGGUAACGGCUCACCCAGGCAACGAUCGAUAGGGGGUCUGAGAGGAUGGUCCCCCACACUGGUACUGAGACACGGACCAGACUCCUACGGGAGGCAGCAGUAAGGAAUAUUGGACAAUGGUCGCAAGACUGAUCCAGCCAUGCCGCGUGAAGGAUUAAGGCCCUAUGGGUUGUAAACUUCUUUUAAACGGGAAAAAACCCUUCUACGUGUAGGAGGCUGAUGGUACCGUAAGAAUAAGGAUCGGCUAACUUCGUGCCAGCAGCCGCGGUAAUACGAAGGAUUCGAGCGUUAUCCGG
rnacentral:rRNA from 1 species